rnacentral:rRNA from 1 species
UCUUCGGAGAGUUUGAUCCUGGCUCAGGAUGAACGCUGGCGGCGUGCCUAAUACAUGCAAGUCGAGCGAACUGAUUAGAAGCUUGCUUCUAUGACGUUAGCGGCGGACGGGUGAGUAACACGUGGGCAACCUGCCUGUAAGACUGGGAUAACUUCGGGAAACCGAAGCUAAUACCGGAUAGGAUCUUCUCCUUCAUGGGAGAUGAUUGAAAGAUGGUUUCGGCUAUCACUUACAGAUGGGCCCGCGGUGCAUUAGCUAGUUGGUGAGGUAACGGCUCACCAAGGCAACGAUGCAUAGCCGACCUGAGAGGGUGAUCGGCCACACUGGGACUGAGACACGGCCCAGACUCCUACGGGAGGCAGCAGUAGGGAAUCUUCCGCAAUGGACGAAAGUCUGACGGAGCAACGCCGCGUGAGUGAUGAAGGCUUUCGGUU